rnacentral:tRNA from 2 species
AAUCAAGAGGGAUGGUGGCGGCCUGCAAAGCCGUUUAGGCCGGUUCGACUCCGGC